UACAGGAGGUCUCAAGCGUUGUUCGGAUUCAUUGGGCGUAAAGGGUGCGUAGGCGGCGCGGUAAGUCGGGUGUGAAAUCUCGGAGCUUAACUCCGAAACUGCAUUCGAUACUGCCGUGCUUGAGGACUGGAGAGGAGACUGGAAUUUACGGUGUAGCGGUGAAAUGCGUAGAUAUCGUAAGGAAGACCAGUGGCGAAGGCGGGUCUCUGGACAGUUCCUGACGCUGAGGCACGAAGGCCAGGGGAGCAAAACGGG
rnacentral:rRNA from 1 species